rnacentral:misc_RNA from 1 species
UACGAAGGGCCUGAGCGUUAAUCGGAAUCACUGGGCUAAAGCGUGCGCAGGCGGAUCGGCUAGUACUUUGUGAAAUCCCACGGCUCAACCGUGGAACUGCUUGGUAUACUGCCGAUCUUGAGCAUGGUAGGGGCGGUCGGAACGAUAGGUGGAGCGGUGAAAUGCGUAGAUAUCUAUCGGAACGCCGAAGGUGAAGACCGGCCGCUGGGCCAUUGCUGACGCUCAGGCACGAAAGCGUGGGGAGCGAACGGG